CAACAUUCUUCCGCCUCUACGCGCCUCCGUGGGCAGCUCCGGCGAGCGCCGCACCUCCGUAGCAGAUCGGUACGUCUCGUCGAGCACCACCGGGGCUAGGUCCAGCGACUCUAGAAUCUAGAUCCUGGCCACUGAGGGGAGGAGCUAGGCACGGCUCCGCCGGAGAAGAUGAAGGUGGCCACCAGAGAUGAAGGUGGCAUGGAUCCGGCCAUGGUGGUCGCGCCCUCCCCGUUUACUUUCCUCCUCCCCCAUCUCCAGUGGUUGGAGUUAGGGUUCCGGCGAGUGGGGUGGGGGCGGAUCCGACCAUGGCGGUCGUGGCGAGGUCCCUGCUUACCCGCGAUGGGGUGCGACGGUGGAUCCAAGGGAUCCGGUCCGGGUGGGGCGUGGAUGCGCAUGUUUCGCAUGGCUGGGAGGCGGAGGCGGGGUAUUCAAUGCUGGGAGCGACGAGAGGGGGUGGUGCGCAUGCUGCGAUGGUGGGGCUGGGACCAGAACAUUGCAGGACAGCGCAUGUCGUGGGGGCGAGCACGCAAUGAAAGACUGGGCCGGGCCGCUGCUAGCCUGACCGUCCUAAGGUUAGGAUGUCCGAGCGCUAGCAGUUCCCAUAGAAAUUGAUUGUGUAGCUUCUCCCAAUAUUCUUGCACACAAUCCAUAUUAAGUUUAUACCAAUAUUUAACUUUUCUCAUUAAAGAAAAUGGAAAUAGUUUUCAUUGGAUGGUCU